rnacentral:rRNA from 1 species
CAGCAGCCGCGGUAAUACGUAGGGUGCGAGCGCUAAUCGGAAUUACUGGGCGUAAAGCGUGCACAGGCGGUUGUGUAAGACAGGUGUGAAAUCCCCGGGCUUAACCUGGGAACUGCGCUUGUGACUGCACAGCUAGAGUAUGGCAGAGGGGGGUGGAAUUCCACGUGUAGCAGUGAAAUGCGUAGAGAUGUGGAGGAACACCGAUGGCGAAGGCAGCCCCCUGGGCCAAUACUGACGCUCAUGCACGAAAGCGUGGGGAGCAAACAGGAUUAGAUACCCGAGUAGUCCCUGUCUCUUAUAC